ACGGAAGGCAGCAGUGAGGAAUAUUGGUCAAUGGGCGGGAGCCUGAACCAGCCAAGUAGCGUGGAGGAUGACGGCCCUACGGGUUGUAAACUCCUUUUGCCGGGGGAUAAAAAACGGGACGUGUCCCGUCUUGCAGGUACCCGCGCGAAUAAGGACCGGCUAAUUCCGUGCCAGCAGCCGCGGUAAUACGGAAGAUCCGAGCGUUAUCCGGAUUUAUUGGGUUUAAAGGGAGCGUAGGCGGGCCUUUAAGUCAGUGGUCAAAGCGUGUGGCUCAACCAUACCACGCCGUUGAUACUGGAGGCCUUGAGUGCACAUAAGGAUGGUGGAAUUCAUGGUGUAGCGGUGAAAUGCUUAGAUAUCAUGAAGAACUCCGAUUGCGAAGGCAGCUGUCCGGGGUGUAACUGACGCUAAUGCUCGAAAGUGCGGGUAUCAAACAGGAUUAGAUACCCUGGUA
rnacentral:rRNA from 1 species